CCACUGUCCUUGGGAAAUUUAUUCAGUGCCUUCACCAUUUACUGAUGAACAUGAUGGCAUACUGAAGAGUUUAAAUUGGAAAGAGAAUGGAGAGGGUAGAGAGACCAGAGAGUGACAGAGGAAAGCUGAUUUUCAGCCUCCGUGUAAAACAUCAAGGAAGAAAUGAUUGAGAGAAUGGUGCAAUGAGUUCUGUGCAGGAAAAGGGAAGCUUCAUGGAGGAAGUGGGUUUGAGCUGAAUCUUCCAGUAAUGGGGAAUAGAAAGUUGGAGUCUCUAGAAACCAACAGAACUUCCUUGCUUGUCAUGGCUCUUGAAAUUUGAGGAUUGCAGGAUAUUUAUUGUUUUGCCUCAGAAGUCAGGAACUGGUGAGAUCAAAGCUUUAUGCUGGGAACUCUUGGCUUUCAUUCCUUUUGGAGGAUAGGCAUUGGAUACAUUUAUAGGAUUCAUUGCAAUCUUUGUCUUUAGCUACCUUAAAUGCACCAAAGAAGAAUACAUUCUGAAUCUUGUCCUCAUGAAUAAAGAUUUGUCAGCAACAAAAGGGAUUCUGAGACCAGUUUAGUAAAGAGGGAGAAUCUCAUGUCUCCAGUCAUGAUAUAAAGCAAAGGAUAACCAGACUACAACCCACAGCUCCAGAGA